rnacentral:ncRNA from 1 species
GAUAACAGCACAAUCCUAUUCUAGAGUUCCUAUUGACAAUAGGGUUUAUGACCUCGAUGUUAGAUCAGGACACCCAAAUGGUGCAACCACUAUUAAAGGUUCGUUUGUUCAACAAUUAAAGUUCUACAUGAUCUGAGUUCAGACCGGGGUAAUC